GUAUACAGUAAAAUGUAACAAUUAAACCAAUUAUAUUUAAUAAAUCGAGUAUGUGUAAAACUGAUCAUGAAAAAUAUCAGAUUUAAAGCAGGAAUCAAAUGACUUUACCUAAAUAAUUAGAAAGCUAACUUUUAAAAAUGUACUAUUAUCAGAACCGUAGCAGAGAGGAUAUUGCGCCAUUGGAAUAUUUUGAGACAGUUAUUAAAAUUAGUAUGCAAAUCAAUAAAUUAAUAUACAAAUCAGUGAUU